GUAGUAUUCCCUCCGUCCCAAAAUUCUUGUCUUAUAUUUGUUUAGAUAUGGAUGUAUCUAACACUAAAAUGUAACUAGACACAUCCGUAUUUAGACAAAUUUAAGACAAGAAUUUUGGGACGGAGGGAGUACAAA
rfam:Triticum aestivum genome assembly, contig: Triticum_aestivum_CS42_TGACv1_scaffold_150192_2BS